GUGUCGUUCUUUCAUAUACGUUUCAUAACAAAAGAUAUUGGAACAAAAAUCGUAUUUGAUUGGUUACCACUUUACCGCCUUGCUGCAUUGUGUUCGUAAAAGUCACAAUGUGACAGGCAUCACGCAUGUUGAAUACAAAGCAAAUAUACAGUUCACGUUAAAACCGUUGCCACGAAAAAACUGUGGAGAAAUAAAUUUGUUCUAUCUGCGACUGAGAAAUAAGGUGCAAUAAGUGAAAUACUUAUCAUUAAAAAUAUAAAAUUGAAAAUAUGUCACAAGUGGGUGGAGAAACAGUUGCAAAAACAAUAAGAAACAUUAUGUCGCAACUUAUUGGGCACGAAGUUGCUCUAAAAUAUUCUUGAACAAGGCAGAACAAAACGUUGCCUUUAAGAAAAUCGAAACUGUCGGAUUCAGUAAUUGCAAUUCUUUUGAAGACAAACCAAUGUACAAUUAGCGAGAUUGAAUCUUGUACUCAAGAGUGGUUGCGACGAUCUGGCGACAGAAUGAGAGCAAUAUUAAAAAAAUAAAUUUUUCUCCGUUUCGUUCUUGUUUAUUUUCUUAUUAUAUAG